GUGAAAACCCUAACUGGACCCGCGCCCGUCCGCGUCUCCUCUUCGUCGUUCUCCUCGCGAGAGGCGGCGGCGGCGUCUCCGCCUCGCUCCUCCGCUUCAGCUCGAGUUCUCCUCCUCAGCCCCCGUCCUAAAAUGAGAACCUCACGAAGGAAACCCUAGCCCCCAGGCCUCAAUCCCUCCCGUGCUUGUGCUCCCCAAUUCCCUCCUCAGGCGGCUCAGUUCCGGCUCCCUGGCCGCCGCCCGCCCUUCUCCUCCUCCCUGCCCGACCCAUCUCGCCUCUUCUUCUCCCUCACCAACCCCAAACGACAAUCCCCUCUUCCAUGUGUUCUUCCCCUUUCCUCGUCACCCACCUCCUGGUUGUCUCCAUGGCUGAAGCUGGGAGAGGAAAAGCGCAGAAGGACACCAUGGAUGAGGAGGUGGAGCACGAUAUGAAGGAGCACGCGGGAAGAUGGCGACCGGCGCAGGGAAGCACGGUCCCCUGGUGGCGCAGGGAUGCUUGGUAUUGGCCAGAAGCACGGUCCCCUGGUGGCGCAGGGAUGCUUGGUAUUGGCCAGAAGCACGGUCCCCUGGUGACUAGCCCAAGGAGAUGAAGACAGCAACCGCGACCUGCGAUUUCAUGGCCUGCUCCACCUCUUCGUCUUCAUCAAGGACGCUGGCCAGCAGCGCAACAACCUACCCUCCUCCACCCUUCACCUCCUUUUCAAAGGAGAAUUGCAGGUUCUCUCUCCCCGUCCCCCCCUCUCCACAUCUCUCUAUCAAAGAAACGUUCCAGGGAGGAGAGCAGGUCGCCCCACGCGCUAGUGUGUCUCAUCUCCCUCCUCAAGGUUGAGGUAAAAGUGGAGGAACCCUAGAAAAUGUCAUCUUUGUUUGUGCAGAUCCAUUUUUAUAUGGGUAUACAAGGUGUUUGAUGAAAUUCCUAGCUAAGAUAAAUGUACACAAUCACUGCAGCUAUAUCCACACAUGUUUCACUUAUUUUUAUAUAUUGCAAAUUUACCAUGCAGCUGGUAGAUGUUUAGGAUAUUAUGAUUGUUUAAGAAAUUUUCAGGUCUGAGGCAUAUAUUCUAUUUGAGCAGUGAUUUUUCCAACUCUUGCAACCUGUAGUUAAUCAUGUUCUCUCAUAUGUUUUGUUAUUAUUUCGUUCUUUAACAAAAUUAAGAGAUUGCAUAUAAAUGAUAGUUCCUCAUAUCUUCCCAGUAGGUGCUUGCUAUGUAAGAAAGUGGCAGAAGCAUAUGCUGCUAUGGAGAUGUGGAGCAGAAAACAGAGACUAGACUUUACCUAGCAACUACAUGCAUUUUAUGAAAGAGUCAAUUGGUAUCGGCGAUAUCUUCUGUAUGAUUUGUGUCUUCAGUUGGUGUGCAAGAAGCAACUGUAUGAUUUCUAGCAUUAGAAUAUCGAAUAUUUGUCAGAUCUCACACAUUUGAAGGAGAUGCAGUUGUCUUCUUGUAGAAUUACAGAUCUGGGUGUUUCUUACCUCGGAGGAGCUUGAAUGAUUCAAGGAUCAGUCGUGUGUUUUGGUAUUUUAUGGUCUACUUAUGAUCUCUACCUAACAAUUUGACAUAUAUUUGAUCCAAAGCUCCUCAUGGUCUAUAUUUAUCAUCUGUUAUAUGUAGGUUUGUCCAAGUGCAGAUUGAUCUGAAUCAAGAAGUAACUAUUCAUGGUGAAGGGUGGGAAUGAUAAGAUGGUAGGUAUCGUAUUUUCGAAGUUGCCUUAAAUUACAUGGAUUAAAUCACGUGGUUAAUAGUUAUAUAUAUGAAUGGCAUACCUUGUUUUAUCCUUGAUAGAGAUUUGUUAGCUUUUGAGAUGGGGAUUGUUUUUAACCAAAUCUUAAAACUAUAGAGCUGACAAAAGGUAUCUCAUUUUUACCUCAGUUGAAGCAAUGCAACUGUUUUAAUUUGUAUGAACUACCAACAUGCAGAAUGCUAUUGUAUUUAUUUUGUAUUUCUUAUGACCCCUUUCUCUUUAUUCUAAUUUAGGAUAGCAUUUGGACCUUUUUUUCUGCAAUGCCAUGUAUUUUCUCCUAUUUCUCUUACCUUCACUUUUAAUUUUGUAUUCUGUUCAAUGAGAAAACACACCAGGUCUUACCAGCUAAUUAGCUCAUCUAAGAUACUGGUCAAGUAAAUGGGAGGAUGCUAAAGAAAAAAAAUUAUUUUCUGGCCAAUUUGUGUGUUCCCUUCUUCUUCGCUUAGCCCUGGCUUGCGCUCUGUUCAUACAAUGUAGAUGAUGAUAACAUCUGGUCAGCUGAGAUGGGAUGGAGAACUAAUUUGCCAUCCGAUUGGUUAAAAAGUAGUUUUCUUUAAGGUCCGACUAGCACAUUGUUGCCUAGACAUGGCCUUACAUUCCAGUCAAUUGAUCCUCCUAUGCCUGGGCUAUUUAUCUAAAUAUGGUAUCAUGUAUUCUAUUACGGUGAUUAACUUGGAGGGUAUUUAUUGUUGGUGUUGCAUAUAUGUGAAAUUUUUUCCUCUUAAUAUGUGUUAGCCUGCAUUUCCCUUGCUGUUGGAGAAAUAUUUACGUUCUUUUAUUUAGAAUCGCUGGUUCAUGUUGUUUUCACUUCUUUCAGACUGUGUGAGCUGAUCUCUUUUCCUUUAUAUUCACAGAUGAUUUACUUGAAUACAAUUUUAGGUGUCCAGUUAAUAAUCCAUGUUGAGAUAAGAAAAUUUAUCCAAUGUUUCUUGGUAUACCAUAUAUUGACGUUUCAGUUUUUCAGAUAUAUAGUGGACUCAUAUAAGGUUCUUAGAAGAGAGGGUGUGGGAAGAAGAAGAGGUGACCUCCGGCGAUGCGUUGCAUCGCAGCUACUGCCUCCCCGAACAACCAGGGAAAACAAGGGAGGUGUACAAGAGAUGAGCUUCCGCUGCAAUGUUUUCUUUUUCUCGUAUCAUUUAUUUUCUCUCUGUAUUUUGUUCAAACUGCAUCUGGUCCCAAUAAUUCCCCUCUGUUUGUUUUGUACAUGAUAGAUUUUGUAGCCAGGCUCAGAUCCGCUAGACCGUUCCAAUGGAUGAGAUCUUGGUUGCUUUCCUUUCUUCUCCUCGAAUUUUAGAGUUCUUUCACUCCUCUUCUCCCAGCGCUCCUUAAUUAUUUACAAUGUUGUUACACAAACAUUAUGUUUGAACCUUUUACAGUUUGGGGCACUAGAGUGGAGGGCUCAUGUUGCAAACGGUAAGGGAUUCAGACUACCAGAAAGGAGGAAGUUCUGAUUUACAUGCUAUAAUGCAGGGUAUGAUAAAUUCAGUUAUAGUGAGUGGGCACUGUUUGGAAGCAAUGCUCAUGGAUAAGUACGCCUAGAGAGGCGGGAGUAGGUUCUGAUUCAUCUUUUUAUAUGGAUGGGCUUGCUUGUUCUUAAGACAGCGAUUCCUCGGAGGGCGACGGUGCAUUUUCCUUUAUUUUCAUACUUGUAGGUGCAUUUUCCUUUAUUUUCAGAUGAUUUACACACAGAGUUUUGAUUAGUGCACAAAACAUGAUGUACAAAGACAUGAUUACCCUAUUGGAUUCAAGAUCAUCAGAAGUGAAAAAUCAAGAUGCAAUAAAUAUGUGGGUUAUAAGUACGCCUUCACAUGCAAGAGGUUCCAGCUCUCUAAUGACAUCAAAGAGGAACUUUGAGAGAAGAAGCUGGAUUCUGCUUUCAGAGAAGAAGCUAGAACAUCACUGAUAUAAUCUGGAACAAAGUGGUGGCAAACUAUGCAAGCUUCAUGAAUAUGCUGGGGCGCUCCCUCCUCUAUAUUUGCUUCUAAGCCGCUCUGCCAUGUCAGCUUGUUCUCGAUGGUUGACCUUAGAAAUUGUAAUUGAAUGAUGUACCAGGCCAAUUUUGCCUGCAUCUCAAUGUAACCAGGGGCCCAUUUUCUCAAAAAUAACUACUGGCAAAGACUGAUCGCCGUUGUCAUAUCCAUGAAAAUCAAAGAACAACAACACAGCUAAGUUAGAGAAA